GCCAGGCACAGUAGUGUAUGCCUGUAAUCCCAGCAGCUCGGGAGGCUGGGGCAGGAGGAUCACAAGUUCAAAGCCAGCCUCAGCAACUUAGUGAGGCCCUAAGAAACUCAGUGAGACUCUAUCUCAA
rnacentral:sRNA from 1 species